rnacentral:rRNA from 1 species
CGGCUGUUAACACAGCAAGUUCGAACGAGAACCCUUCGGGAGGGGUUAGUGGCGAACGGGUGAGUAACACGUGGGCAAUCUGCCCUGCACUCUGGGACAAGCCCUGGAAACGGGGUCUAAUACCGGAACUGACCCGCUUGGGCAUCCAAGCGGUUCGAAAGCUCCGGCGGUGCAGGAUGAGCCCGCGGCCUAUCAGCUUGUUGGUGAGGUAAUGGCUCACCAAGGCGACGACGGGUAGCCGGCCUGAGAGGGCGACCGGCCACACUGGGACUGAGACACGGCCCAGACUCCUACGGGAGGCAGCAGUGGGGAAUAUUGCACAAUGGGCGAAAGCCUGAUGCAGCGACGCCGCGUGAGGGAUGACGGCCUUCGGGUUGUAAACCUCUUUCAGCAGGGAAGAAGCGAAAGUGACGGUACCUGCAGAAGAAGCGCCGGCUAACUACGUGCCAGCAGCCGCGGUAAUA